GCGUAGGUGGUGGUUUAAGUCUGUUGUGAAAGCCCUGGGCUCAACCUGGGAACUGCAGUGGAUACUGGGCGACUAGAGUGUGGUAGAGGGUAGCGGAAUUCCUGGUGUAGCAGUGAAAUGCGUAGAGAUCAGGAGGAACAUCCAUGGCGAAGGCAGCUACCUGGACCAACACUGACACUGAGGCACGAAAGCGUGGGGAGCAAACAGGAUUAGAUACCCUGGUAGUCCACGCCCUAAACGAUGCGAACUGGA
rnacentral:rRNA from 1 species